rnacentral:rRNA from 1 species
GACGAACGCUGGCGGCGUGCUUAACACAUGCAAGUCGAACGGAAAGGCCCUGCUUUUGUGGGGUGCUCGAGUGGCGAACGGGUGAGUAACACGUGAGUAACCUGCCCUUGACUUUGGGAUAACUUCAGGAAACUGGGGCUAAUACCGGAUAGGAGCUCCUGCUGCAUGGUGGGGGUUGGAAAGUUUCGGCGGUUGGGGAUGGACUCGCGGCUUAUCAGCUUGUUGGUGGGGUAGUGGCUUACCAAGGCUUUGACGGGUAGCCGGCCUGAGAGGGUGACCGGCCACAUUGGGACUGAGAUACGGCCCAGACUCCUACGGGAGGCAGAAGUGGGGAAUAUUGCACAAUGGGCGGAAGCCUGAUGCAGCAACGCCGCGUGCGGGAUGACGGCCUUCGGGUCGUAAACCGCUUUCGCCUGUGACGAAGCGUGAGUGACGGUAAUGGGUAAAGAAGCACCGGCUAACUACGUG